CCACUCUGGGGCAGAGCCUCAGACAUGUCGCUUCUAUGAUGAGCUGCAUGCCAUUCUAGGUGGUGCCCCUACAACUACCCCAUCAGUGUGCUUUGACUCCAUUAAUGGACUCUCAUGCAAGAGGAAUGCAGAUUUAGGGAAUGAGGAGGAAGAGAAUGUUGAAGUUAGCACCCAGCAAGGAAAUGGAGAAAACGUUUUUCCUGACAGCCAGGGACUGUUUUUAUCACCCUGGAGCCAGUACCCUCCCAACCCACCCAAGGCAAGCUCACGGACCUUGAAGGCAGUGAAGGGACCUCUGCUGCAAAUGUUUCAAUGCUCGCUGUAUCAUCUCCAUCCUAGAGGCUAGUGAAGAUUAGAAAGC